UGCAUGUUAGAAAAUAUAUAUAUAUAUUUUUUGGACAAAAUGGUGAUAUAUUAUUGAUUUAUCUAUUUUUUAAACAUAAACUUAGCUGAAAAUAUGAACUUAAAAUUUCAGGUACUAACCAUCUAACUCUUUUGUCACUUGUGUUCGAGUUUGAAGUGAAGGCUUUUCUACUGAGGCUUAGAAUUCUAACUUAACAUCCUGACGUAGUUAAAUUUUUUGACAUUUUAUUUGUCUAAUGUUAUUUG
rnacentral:lncRNA from 1 species